AUUCUGCAAUGAAACAAAACAAUUCAUAAUUUUCAUCACUUAAAUGAUAGCUAUCCAGUUUAUCUAUUUUUAUACAAAUAGGAUUAAUAUUAUAUUUAUGUAUUUAAUUUUAUGCUGUAAUCUCGUUAGUGUACUAUCAAUUAUUAUGAACAUAAUAUAAUGCAUAUGUAUAAGACGUAAUGUUUUAUUAAAGUUGUUUACUAUAAGAAGAGGUUAGAAUCUAGAUAAAUUAACUCCUGUCUAAAUUUGGAUUCAUUUAAACUAAUAUAAAUUUAAGUAAAAAGAUGUUAUGUUAUGAACUUACUGUUUUCAUUAGAUUUCUACUUUAGUAACUAUUACUUUGUAUUAAUUAAUAUAAUAAUGAUUAUGUAAACUGUAAUUAUUUAAAAUAAAUUUUGCUCUCUUUAUCGUCAAGUAAGUAUACUUGUAAUGGUUAUUCAGUUUCACUGUUUCUAUAUAAAAUAAUUAACAAACAUUACUUAUCAUUUGAAUACUACUUAUGUAGUAUUCACCAGAUGGAAAACUAUUUUGAAAAAAUUAAAAUUUCUAAAAAUAUGGUGGUAUAAUUACUUAUAACAAUAAUUUUUAUGGAAUUAAUCCUUGCAUCUCAUCUUGUUUCAACAUAUAAAAGCUACUUUAGGUACAGUACUUGAAAUGUUAAGACAUGUUAAGACAUAAUUUGAAUUGAAUAAUUGCGAGAAAGCUCUGUAGUAAUUGAUUUUUGUAUAAUAAUUGCAAUUUGUUAACAAUUGUAAUAAUAAUGAAUGUCAAAAUUGAAAUUUCAUAUUUAUAUACAAAAAAUUAUUUAUAAUUACUCUAAUGAUAUGAUGAUCAACUAAGAAAAAUUAUUUAUCAAAGUAUUGAAGUUUUCACAGUCAAGAAAUUGGGUUAAUAACUUUUUUGCCUCAAAAAAAUAAAACAUUUUUCAUAAUGUAAUCCAUAUAUUGCCUAUGAAAUAGCAAAAAAUAAUGGAUUUCAAUGGGAUUUUGAUUAAAACUAUUGGAACAUUUUUGUUAAUAAAUAUAUUUUUGUAAGAAAC